rnacentral:tRNA from 1 species
UGGAGUAUAACUCAGUGGUAGAGCUCAUGCUUAGCAUGCAGGAGGUCCUGGGUUCAAUCCUCAGUACUUCCA